AUUUCUGAACAUGUGAACAUUCCAUCCCGGCCUCCUCCUCCCCACCAAAACAGGUGCCAUUGCACUGCAUCCUGCUCCUGGAAGGACAAAUCUCACUGCCUGGGGAAAGAGCCAUGGACAAGAAAUUCUGCCAGGAAAUCAAAGAGGAGGAAGACGACAAAAAAAAAACAACGGGAAGAGGUGGAGGAUUAUGAUAACAAGGAAAAAAACCAACAAGGACAACAAGAAAAGGUGGAAAAGGAAAAAUAGGAGGGGGAGAAGCAAAAGGAAAGACGACAACAAAAGGAGAAGCUGCAGCAACAGAAGGAGAACGGCAGCAAAACCAGGAGGAAGAGAGAAGGAGACAGAAAUCACCAGAGCAGGAGGGUACAAAGAAGGACAGCGGCGAACACUGGAGGAGAAGCAGGAAGGUGGCUACGAUGAAAGGAGGAGGAAGAGGACAGUGACAACAAAUGGUGAGGAAGGAGAAAGGUGAGGAGAACAGCGACUGUAAAAGGAGGAGAAAGGAGAGGAGAAAGAAAAGGUAAGUUAAAACACGUAGAGAUAGAUGAGGAGGGGUAUGAGGAGUUAGAGGCAAACAGGAAAAAAGGAUGAGGAGGAGGAGGAAAAGGAAGAAAAUGUGAUGGGAAGACGAGGAGGAACUAGCAAUGACAAAAGAAAAAGAAGGACAAGGAAAUAGAAGAGGAGGAGAGAUGAUAUAGUAAAAGGAAAACACGGAGCAGAAGCUACAGGGGGAAAAAGAAAGAAACACUUUUCAAAGAACACAAAGGUGGAGUGGAGAAGUAAGACAAAAAAAAUGAUAAAUAGGAGAGGAGCAGGUCGAAGUGGAGGAAGAUCAGGAGGAGGAGGAGAAGGA